rnacentral:rRNA from 1 species
UACGUAGGGGGCGAGCGUUGUCCGGAAUCAUUGGGCGUAAAGCGCGUGUAGGCGGCUUGCCCAGUCCGGUGUGAAAUCUCGGGGCUCAACCCCGAAACUGCACUGGAAACUGGUUGGCUAGAGUCCGGAAGAGGAGAAUGGAAUUCCUGGUGUAGCGGUGAAAUGCGCAGAUAUCAGGAAGAACACCGGUGGCGAAGGCGGUUCUCUGGGACGGUACUGACGCUGAGACGCGAAAGCGUGGGGAGCGAACAGG